UGCAGUUUUGGGUCUGGUUUUUCUUUCCAUGCUCGUUCCUCUUCUCUUCCUUCUCGGCCUUCACAAUGGCUUUCACUCUCCGGGGGGAUCGUUCAAACCAUGUAGAUGAUCUUGUGAAACAAUUUGCACCAACCCUUUCAAAGGUUUGUUGCAUAUUGCUCUGAUGGUCAAUACUUUAUUACCUUCUUCGUUUGAUUCCGCUGUUUUCAUUUUAUUAGUACUGUGUAGCUUAAUUAGUUAUAGAGAAAUAGGCCUGUAGAUGA